GUUCCCACUUUUCACAUCCAUACACCGUGUCUGCCUGGGUGAAAUUCCUCCAUCUGGAAUGAUAGACUGUAUUCGAAACCAUCCUGAACAUAUAGAUGUGGCGGGAUCAGCGAAAGCAAAUGACGGAGUUGUUGUUGAUGCUCUUCUUCUUCCUCAAAUGGAGUGACGUCACAAUACAGCCGAUAGUUUUUUGUCAGGAGCACAUAAAGCCUGUUUGAGAAGACUGGAUGUUAUUUGCUUUUCUGUUUGUAAGUACAGGCCCCCCAACUGCUUUAAACUAUCGAUGGAAUCCUCUGAUUAAUGAGGUAAAGGGAUUGACGUAAGAGAAAAUCAUCAUUGGUAUGCUACAGUUAGUUGUAUAUUUAAUGUCUUAGAAUAUGUUUGUUCUCUCUUCCUUUUAUUCUGAAUGUUAGCUGUACUAUAGUGGAAUGUGCUUGGCUUGCUUCAUAAUUUCUUUUUUAUUCAGUUUUUAUAGAAAACCAAUUGUUUCAUUUAGGUUUUGAAUAGUAUUUUAUGUUUGCAAAUAUUUAAUGUUUUAGAGCUGCAUUUUGUUUUUUUGAAUUUAGUAUUCUGGUUGAAUGCAUUUUUAUUCUGAGAUGUAGAAAGUUUGAUCAAUGAUGAAGUUACUGAAAAGGAAUUUAAUCAUUUUUAGCCUAGUUUAACGUUUCUUAAAUGUGGCCUAUUAUAGUUUAAAAGUAUAACAUUUGUAACUUAGGAGACGAGCUAAAGAUAAGACGUUAAAACAACAGUUUCUAGGUCAAGAAUUGAAUAACUUAGUUAACACAUUUUGGAGGUUAAGUGUUUGUAUUAAGUAGAUCUUAACUUAUACUACGUAUUCAUGAGUAAUGUCUUGCUUAUCGAGGCAUCCCAAAUCCAGAAUCUAACAAUAUAAAAGUGCAAGAGACAAAAGCCAUAUGUCAUAUAAUGAAUUCAUGAAAUAUGUACGUAACAGUAAAUUCAUUGUGAUUCUCAGGUGAUAAUAUUUAUUUCCAAUACAUACUUCUCUCUGUAUUUGAUGAAUACAUUGUAAGCAUGUUUUCAUAAAGGGCUAUAUUUCUAAGUAUCAGGAUAAUUUUUUUAUGAUUUUAGCUUCCCAUUUAUAUUAGACCUGCUAUCUAGGGAUGAAUGAUAAACAAUCAUCAUCAGUCUACAGAAAUAGUAGUUAAAAUUCAGAGAAUCAUUCCUCUUGUCACAGACUUGGCUUGAAUAUGGCCCACCUCUUUUGAAUCAGUGGCUGCAUUUGAGCUGCUACAUCUUCCAUUAGCAGUGGUGGUUGAGCUUAUUAUCCAAAAUGGUAAAUGUUCAUCCAGAGUCGACCUUUGAUCUGAAGGACUAAUAUUAAGGAAUUAAAUCUGCUGUUUAUUGUGGUUGCAAAACUCAUGAGUG